rnacentral:rRNA from 1 species
GAUGAACGCUGACAGAAUGCUUAACACAUGCAAGUCAACUUGAAUUUGGGUUUUUAUCUUAGGUUUGGGUGGCGGACGGGUGAGUAACGCGUAAAGAACUUGCCUCCCAGCUAGGGACAACAUUUGGAAACGAAUGCUAAUACCUAAUAUUAUGAUAAUAGGGCAUCCUAUAAUUAUGAAAGCUAUAAGCGCUGUGGGAGAGCUUUGCGUCCCAUUAGCUCGUUGGAGAGGUAACGGCUCACCAAGGCGAUGAUGGGUAGCCGGCCUGAGAGGGUGAUCGGCCACAAGGGGACGGAGACACGGCCCGUACGCAGACGGGAGGCAGCAGUGGGGAAUAUUGGACAAUGGACCGAGAGUCUGAUCCAGCAAUUCUGUGUGCACGAUGAAGUUUUUCGGAAUGUAAAGUUCUUUCAGUUGGGAAGAAACAACUGACGGUACCAACAAAAGAAGUGACGGCUAAAUACGUG